UACAGAGGGUGCGAGCGUUGUCCGGAAUCACUGGGCGUAAAGGGCGCGUAGGUGGCGGCAUAAGGCCGUGGUGAAAGUCUGGGGCUCAACCCCAGAUCGGCCGCGGCGACUGUGUCGCUUGGGCACCGUAGAGGCAGAUGGAAUUCCUGGUGUAGCGGUGAAAUGCGCAGAUAUCAGGAGGAACACCGGUGGCGAAGGCGGGUCUCUGGGCAACAACUGACGCUGAGGAGCGAAAGCGUGGGGAGCGAACAGG
rnacentral:rRNA from 1 species